rnacentral:rRNA from 1 species
AUUGAACGCUGGCGGCAGGCCUAACACAUGCAAGUCGAACGAGUGGCGGACGGGUGAGUAAUGUCUGGGACACUUCCUGAUGGAGGGGGAUAACUACUGGAAACGGUAGCUAAUACCGCAUACCAUCGGAUGUGCCCAGAUGGGAUUAGCUAGUAGGUGGGGUAAAGGCUCACCAAGGCGCCGAUCCCUACCUGGUCUGAGAGGAUGACCAGCGACACUGGAACUGAGACACGGUCCAGAGUCCUACGGGAGGCAGCAGUGGGGAAUAUUGCACAAUGGGCGCAAGCCUGAGGCAGCGAUGCCGCGUGUAUGAAGAAGGCCUUCGGGUUGUAAAGUACUUUCAGCGGGGAGGCGUUACCCGCAGAAGAAGCACCGGCUAACUCCGUGCCAGCCGCGGCGGUAAUAC